AGAGGCAGUAAAAAACCAAUGCAAUAUAAUAAAACAAUGAAAUCUUGUAAAAACACCUUAGUUCAAUGAAAACCUCUUUAUAUCAUCUUUUAAUAGUUCAAACGAGUGAAUCAAAAUAGGGCAAAAAGAUAGAUACAUAAAUAAGCCUCUCGGGCAAGUACCAACAGAAUCAGCCCCUCGGGCUAUCUCAAAAUCAUUGUAUCAACCCCUCGGGCAA
rnacentral:lncRNA from 1 species